GGAGGCUGUAGAUUAUAGCAUCAAUUUGUUCAGAAAUAGAGCUUUAAGCAUCAUAUUGAGGCAACAUACUAAUAGCAAUAAUAAAUAUUGUGGUUUCUGUCAGUACUGUGAGAAUAUUCUGUGAAUAAUUUAAAUUGAAGAAAAACUCAGCAAUGAUUUUUGUUGACAGAACAAGAAUUUGCAAAAAAUGUGAUAAAGACAGCCGAGGGAGCAAAGGUCAACGUGGCACAGCAGGAAAUGAUGCCUCUGCAGUACAUCUACACCAUGGCGCUGGAGCAAGACGUCAAGAACAGUGUGACCUCAAGAAAAACUUCUGAACUGCUGCACAACCGCUGUUACCAAGCCAUGGCUGCCAAGAAGAAUGAGAUCGACAAGUGGCGCAGAGAGUUUAAGGAGCAGUGGGCCAGAGAACAGAGGAGGAUG